AAUACACCCUGCAAACCUCUCGUCCUGCAGUUGCUCUGUGGUUUGAGAAGGGGACGCAGCUCAUGCUCAGCUACUUGUUGCAGAGCCUCUGCGUAGGAGCGAUGAAAUGGGCUCCACGUGCUGGGGGAGCCGGCAGUGGGCAAGGAAAACUGCCUCGUGCUCAGUGGAUGUCAGCCAGAACCAACCCUGGGAAUCAGCUCCUUGCUCAGUGCCCUCUGCCAUGGAGGCAGCAAAGCAGAGGGCCGCCUCACUGCAGUCCUCUGUAGGCAAUUCUGCCAUAAGUUCAUUUAGGUGAGCUGUCUUUAGUUCCUUGCUCCACUCGCCGUAAUUGCUUCUUCAGAGUGAUGCUACACCUCAGGCGUGGGGCUGCUGCCUGGCUGGCCUUCCAUAGACAGACCAAGGAAGCUUCUGGAAACAUUCCCAGUCCUUGGCGUAUUCAUCAGGAUCGUUACAAUUCUGCUGCCACAAAGAGGGAAGUAUCGUGUUCUCCUGUUAUUUAUUAGCAUAUGCUGGAGUGUGAGGGACCGUGGUGGGGAGGGGAGCCCUGCUGUGAGGGGCACGGGGUAAACACAGCCGAAAUGACAGCAGCAGGCCUCAUCACAGAGCGUUAGCAAUUCAAACAGCCACGUCAGGCAGAGAAUUUGAGAGACGGAUGUAACACAAGCAAAGGAAGAACGUGGCAGUUUGCAAACAGUGAGUUGGGUGAUGUUCUUGUAGGUGUGUUCAUUCUUGAAGCACCUCGAAAGAAAUGCAAAUGAAAUGUAUGGUGGGCAGGUCUCCGUGCAAGCAAGGCCUGUUGGAGCUUCAGGUCAGAGAUGCAGGAACUUCUUUAUCUCGUAGAGAGAGAUAACAAGAGGGCUUUUGGAAAAUGUGAGAAAACCAUUGGAGGUCUGGUUUUGCCUAAAGGCACAGUGGGAUGGAUGAUGGAGUCUGAGGAGUGGGGAGUUGUGUGCUAUUCUAUUAAUAAAAGCAGAAGGAAGUAGCAGAACAGAAGCAGUGGAGCAAAUCCCAAAGUCAGUGCCCCACCAAACAGGCAAAAAACUCACCAAAGAAAAGCUGAUGAAUUUCCAGGGUAGAAUUUGUUGGCAGACAGACUGGGCUGAUGUUUCCUAAAGCAACCAGCUUAAUCCCUCCAUUCUGCAAAGGCAAUGCCAAACAAAAGAAAGCUGCUCAACAUUUUCUAUUAGCCUGAAAUUUUGCUGCAGAGAAAAUGAUAACAUGGAAGGAAUUUCCUUGGGAAAGAAAAGAGAAAAGGGUGCUGUGGAAUUAUUUUAGUUCAGACGACUGCAAUGCUAAAAAUGAAUUCUGGGGCAGGACAAUAAACUCAUACACGAAUAUUAAUUCUGCUUGCAGUCACCCAAGGAGUUCAGUCACUGAAGCCCAUUCAUGGUCCGUGUGCUUCCACAGCCUCAGAGGGAUGCUCCAAAAAACUUUGAAAAGCCCAAUCUAAACACGUUUGUGCCCAACUUUCUAAAGAUCCUCCUGUGUGGCUGCAAAGAAUAAGUAAUUUCUAUCUGUAACACGUUAUGAAGUCCUCGGGAAGUAGGCACCGGGGCAGUGUAAAAUGGUUAUUUUAGCCUUAUCUUCUCUUACAAUUGCUUGUUCUCCAUCUCCGCGGAGGGCAGCUGGCAGCACAGCGCUGCGGUGAUUUAAGCCCACCAGGCUGCGGUGUUGGCUCUGUUGUGCAGCGCCUGAGCCGCUGUGCAGGACUUGGCCAUAAACCGCACAGCCCAAGGAAGAUGUUGCUUGUUUUCCAGGACAGGAUGAAAUCACCCCGUGCAUGUCCUCUGUCUGUCGCCUCUCCUGGCAGGGAAAACAUAAAUGCCUUUCCCAUCAUUUUAUUUAUUGCCUUUCUGUGUUUCCUGGGAAAAGCCUAUUUUUAUUUUCUAGCACUUUUGUGUGUGAGUCUGUGUGGGGUAAGCAUGUGUGUGUGUGUGUGUGUGUGUGUGUGUGUGUGUGUGUUUAGGAGGUUAAAAAAAAAUUCUUGCUGUCAGCAAGUGAUGUUACAAACCUGCUCUGACAAGGCUGGUUGUAUAUUUACAGUUGGUGAGAGCGAAGGCUUCAUCAAUCUUCACGCUUUGAAAGGGACAGGCCCGCUCCCAUGAGCACCUGCUCCGGGAGAACAGCUGAACUGUGACUUUCCAGGGAGCUAGCUGUAAAUUUUAGCCAUUCCCCCCGCAGCCCACGCAUGCUUGAGCUCUUUAACCUUCCCAGGCUGGCAGGAGUCCCAGCAAUCAGUUUAGUGCAAAGACUGGGGUUCUUUUUAAUUAACCUUUUGUUUCCCACUGCAGGUGUUUCGAAGUUUCUUAAUGUUAAAAAGGAAGAGGAAAGAAGCUGUUUGCAGAGGUGCAUCCACUCUCUUCCACUCUUGCUAUGCUCGGUGAUCAAAUGGGAGCGGUCUUUCUCAUGUUUCUGCUCCUCAUUUGCCUCCUGCAUGUAAGAUUAUAACAACAUCUGCUCCGAACCUCUGUAGGCAUCUACACAAAGUAUUCCCGUGAGUACAUUUCAGUUCUGUCCUGCAAGGUCACCCUUCCAUCCUUUGUGAGGCAUCUGCUUUUCCAACCCACUCCGCUUUCUCCAGGCAACGUUCUCCCGACGCCUGCCUCCCUCAGUGGGUUGAUGUUCUGUUUAAUUAGUUUGGCCUCUCGCACCCGGCCGGGGGAAGUUUGAUUAGAGACUCAGACAACACUUCUGUUCCUUCAGCCUCCGGUCCUCCCAGAGCACACACCCGAUGGAAGGAGAAAAAAAUGCCCUUUCCUACAACUCCAGCCAGCCCGUCCUGCUUGGACCAUCCACGCUGGUAUGGCACACAAGGCUGGUGAGAAGUCAGAGCUUAGAAAACGUCGUGGUAGAGCACAGGGACAGGGUUUACUUAUGUCGUGCUUGGGAAGCGUUGCAGUAUUUUUAUGCACUGAACAGGUUGCCCAAGGAGGCUGUGGAUGCCCCAUCCCUGCAGGCAUUCCAGGCCAGGCUGGAUGUGGCUCUGGGCAGCCUGGGCUGGUGGUUGGUGACCCUGCACAUAGCAAGGGGUUGGAACUAUUUGAUCAUCGUGGUCCUUUUCAACCUGGGCCAUUGUGUGAUUCUAUGAUUUUUUAAUGUAAAAGCAUUCGGUUUUCUUCAGCGCUUGCCCUGUUAAUAAAGAAAGCUGUAUCAUUUGGUAUGGCUAAGCAUUGACAAUAUUUGCUGCUUAAAGGCUUGCCAUGUGAAAACCCAGCUACCUAAAUCCCAAACACCUCAUUUCAGAAGGGAAAUAUUCCCGCACUGUAAGAAGAGAGUGCUGUUGUCCUAUCAGAGCAAUAAAAUCAGUUGAACAAGACUGUUGUACCUCCAAGAAAAUUCAUAUGUGGAAAUUUAUCACAAGGAAAAAAUACACUUAAGCCCCACUUAAAAUAAUAAAAUACAUCUUUUAGAGAAAGUUUCAGACUUUUCUGGGUAAGAGGAAUAAUGGUUUCUAUAAUUUAAUAGGUGCUAAAUUUGGUGAGGAGUGCCAGCAAAUCCAUUUCACAUAAUGAUAUUUUAUCUCCCCUGAAACGGUCAUUUUCACAAAUGCCUUUUUAUUGGUUCCCUUGUCCCACGAAGCACCCAGGCUGGAGCUGGGGUGUGUAUAGCAGUGGGGAUGGGUAGGGAAACCAGUCAAUAACGGGGACACAAAACAUGGGCAGGAUCUGCACGAGGGUUAAAUGUGCUCCCUGUAUAUAGAGAACAUUUCUACUUUGACCCGCAGGGCUCUGGCUUUUUAGCACUUGCUCCUGUAGGAGUUAAGGUGGGUGCAACUAUUAAAAACCAGAGAUGACCCACAUGGAACCGUGGGUGAGAAUAGCAUAGAAAAGACUGAGAAUAAAACAACCAACAGCCCUCCCCUUCUGCAGUUUGUGACCACUGUCCCUAAAAAGAAACUGAGUUUCAGGAAAGGGAAUAGAGAAUUUUUUUCUGGUUGGGAAAAAGAAGUGGAAAGUUCAAUGAAUAAUCAGAUCAGAAUAAAAUGGAAAGAAGGGGAAAUAUGUAAGGGUUGGUCUAAAGAGGCCAUGCAUGAAUUAAAGUGUGAUCCAUAGGCUUGGCGUGAAACGGUCAGCGAUAUUCACAAUCAGCACAAGGUCUUUGCUGCCACCCCCUUAUGUGCCAUAUACCUGUAAUUGCCAUAUACUUGUCAUUCUGUUGCAUAUAUUUUUUUUCAGUUCUGCCACCCUUGGAAUUCUCCCAUCGUAGGUGGUGUGUUGUCUGCCUGGGAGCUCCUGCAGCCCUGCCUGCGUGGAGGAACAAGGAUGUGAUAAUACCGGGCCCUGGAGCUGCAAAUGCAGAACGAACCAAGGAGUAAAAGAAUUGACAAGACAAGCAGUGGUGGGAAAUGGAGGGAAGACUGUGAAAAAGGUUAUAAUAAAUAAUAAGAAAUGUUGCAUGGGCCAAAGGAAUAAUAGAUCAGCGAUGGAAAGACUCUAAAAGCUGCUGAGGGUUAUUUAUUGAUGGACAUUGUUUAAAAGAAAAAAAAAUCAGUGACAGUUUUCCUUCGUGCUCACCAAGGCAGAUGGCGGGGCAGGUGCCAGAAUGAAAGAUAAAUUUCCUUUUGCAUAAAGAAGAAAUAUUGAAGGAAACUGAGCAGAGGUGAUGGAGAAAUUAGAGCGUUGAAAGACCCUGAAAGCACGCGGUCCAUGUCAGCCCUCUCUCAGGAUUUUCAGCUGAGUCAGCAGAAAGCAGGAAAAACUGUUGCGGGAAAUGAGAACCUCUUUGAAGACCAGUAAUGGAGAGGUUCCUGCAAGUGUCACGUCCAGAGGUCUGAGGAAAGCCUUCCAGGAAUUAAAGUUGGUGGUGCAGAAGGUACCUCUGCGUGGCUGAGUGGCCAACGUGCAUCGUAAUCUGGGACUGCAGUAGAGACAUAGUUAGAAGUUAUGAAUGUAAUGAAGGGAAACCAUCAAAGAUUCAGAAAUUGGAAGCUGGGCCAAUAAUGGGAGAGGAAAACGGACAGAGGGUUUCUGAGGAGUUUGUGCAAAUCAUGAGCCAGGGAGAGCCAAGAGAUACAACUUGUGCAGUGGCAGCAAAGGUUGGGUGUAACACGUUCAAAAAGCAUAACAUGGAGUGGAAGUGAUGAGUGUGGGACAUGGAAGCGCCUGGUGGAGCUCUGAGCUGGUGGUACACACAGAGCUGCUGUGAGGAUGCAUUGGUUUCUGUUGCCUUGGCUGUGAGCGGGGGGUUGGGGGGGUCUGUGGGCACCGG
ensembl:lncRNA